UAGAGUUUGAUCAUGGCUCAGAUUGAACGCUGGCGGCAUGCCUUACACAUGCAAGUCGAGCGGCAGCGCGGGGGCAACCCUGGCGGCGAGCGGCGAACGGGUGAGUAAUGCACCGGAACGUGUCCUCUUGUGGGGGAUAACCAGUCGAAAGACUGGCUAAUACCGCAUGAGCUCGAGAGAGGAAAGCAGGGGACCCGCAAGGGCCUUGCGCGAGAGGAGCGGCCGAUGCCGGAUUAGCUAGUUGGCGGGGUAACGGCCCACCAAGGCGACGAUCCGUAGCUGGUCUGAGAGGACGACCAGCCACACUGGGACUGAGACACGGCCCAGACUCCUACGGGAGGCAGCAGUGGGGAAUUUUGGACAAUGGGGGCAACCCUGAUCCAGCCAUGCCGCGUGUGUGAAGAAGGCCUUCGGGUUGUAAAGCACUUUCGGACGGAACGAAAUCGCGCGAUUUAAUAAGUCGUGUGGAUGACGGUACCGUAAGAAGAAGCACCGGCUAACUACGUGCCAGCAGCCGCGGUAGCCCAAUCGCC
rnacentral:rRNA from 1 species